rnacentral:tRNA from 1 species
AGCAAGGGAAGCUAAUGAAUAGCGUUCGGCUUUUAACCGAAAGUAAGUGGGAAUACCACCUCUUGCUU